rnacentral:rRNA from 1 species
GACGAACGCUGGCGGCGUGCCUAAUACAUGCAAGUCGAGCGAUGAUUAAAGAUAGCUUGCUAUUUUUAUGAAGAGCGGCGAACGGGUGAGUAACGCGUGGGAAAUCUGCCGAGUAGCGGGGGACAACGUUUGGAAACGAACGCUAAUACCGCAUAACAAUGAGAAUCGCAUGAUUCUUAUUUGAAAGAAGCAAUUGCUUCACUACUUGAUGAUCCCGCGUUGUAUUAGCUAGUUGGUAGUGUAAAGGACUACCAAGGCGAUGAUACAUAGCCCACCUGAGAGGGUGAUAGGCCAAACUGGGACUGAGCACCGGCCCAGACCCAUACGGGAGGCAGCAGUAGGGAAUCUUCGGCAAUGGGGGCAACCCUGACCGAGCAACGCCGCGUGAGUGAAGAAGGUUUUCGGAUCGUAAAACUCUGUUGUUAGAGAAGAACGUUAAGUAGAGUGGAAAAUUACUUAAGUGACGGUAUCUAACCAGAAAGGGACGGCUAACUACGUGCCAGCCGCCGCAGUAA